ACGAGCGCACCCUUGUCACUAAUUGCCAUCAUUCAGUUGGGCACUUUAGUGAGACUGCCGGUGACAAACCGGAGGAAGGUGGGGAUGACGUCAAGUCCUCAUGGCCCUUAUGGGUAGGGCUUCACACGUAAUACAAUGGCGCGUACAGAGGGUUGCCAACCCGCGAGGGGGAGCUAAUCUCAGAAAGCGCGUCGUAGUCCGGAUCGGAGUCUGCAACUCGACUCCGUGAAGUCGGAAUCGCUAGUAAUCGCGGAUCAGCAUGUCGCGGUGAAUACGUUC
rnacentral:rRNA from 1 species